UUUGUUUCUGAAGCAAUGCAGAAACUACAGAACUACUAUAUUCAUCAGUCAAUCUACAGUCGUUAAAUUCAAGGAUGCAAUUGAUCAAUCCUUGUCGCCAACCUCCAACAAAAGUACUUCAAUGCACUCCAUUCUUGAAAUACUAUAUUCAUCAGUCAAUCUACAGACCUUAUAACAUGCUAAAAAUAGAACAACACCAACUAAAAUAAAAAAUAGUACUACUGAAUAUCAAUCUACAACCCAUCUAGCGGCAAACCUGCUAAAAAUUGAACAAGACCAAUUAAAAACAAAACUUAGUACUACUAAGUAACAAAGUUGGUCAAAAGUACUAUUGAGAAGAACAAAAAAUAGACACUUAACCCAAUUAGUUUUACCAUACCAUCGUUAUAGAGUAACUUUUAUCCCAUUGAGUAACCAAACUGUUAAAAUAAUAAGUCUAUUGAGUACAAAAGAGAAGGAAUUUUCAGUUCACUUAAUCAAUUGAAUAUUGUGACGACCCGGUCAGUCGUCUUUGGAAUUUUCGCCACAUUCCCCCAUUAAUUGCUUCCCUUAAGUUCAUUUAUGCUAUUUUAGUUUGCCGGGAUAUUCGGUAAUAGAAUUCGGAGUGUUUUGGGACACUUAGUCCCUAAAUGAGAGCUUAAAUGUUGGAAAAUGUUCCGUAAUCAGAACAGUGUGAAGACGACCUUGAAAUGAAAAUUCAAUGGUUCCGUUAGGUGAUUUCAGGGUUAGGGGCGUGUUCGGAAUGUAUUUUGGAUGUCCGUAGCUCAUUUAUGCUAGAAAUGCCGAAAGUUAGAAUUUUGAAGUUUUCGGUCCGAUAGUAAAUUUUUGAUCUGAGGGUCAGAAAGGGACUCCGGAAGUUGCUGUAGUACCGUCAUGUCAUUUGGGAUGUGCGAGCAAAAUUUCAGGUCAAUCGGACGUGUUUUGGUUAGGUUUUGAAUCGAAAGCGAGUUUGGUUANNNNNNNNNNNNNNNNNNNNNNNNNNNNNNNNNNNNNNNNNNNNNNNNNNNNNNNNNNNNNNNNNNNNNNNNNNNNNNNNNNNNNNNNNNNNNNNNNNNNNNNNNNNNNNNNNNNNNNNNNNNNNNNNNNNNNNNNNNNNNNNNNNNNNNUAUUGUUUUAGGUGGUUUAAGGAUUUGUACAAGUUUGAAUGAUGUUAUGGGAUAUGUCCGUAGGUUUGAUUGAGGUCCCAGGGGCCUUGGGUGUGUUUCGGAUGCUCAACGGAGCAUUUUUGGAGUCGAAAAUAUUGCAGAAUUUCUUCAGCUGUUGCAGGUCAUUUUCCUUCUUCGCGAUCGCAUCUCAUUUCACGCGAUCGCAUAGGCCAAUCUUGUAGGGGCCCAAAUUCCUUAAUUGCGACCGCAGGGAUUGGUUCGCGAUCGCGUAACUCUACCUCUCCCCUCUUCGCAUUCGCGUGCCUUCAUACGCGAUUGCGUAAGGCCAUUUUCUCCUCGUCUGGGAUAGCAUGCUUCUUCUCGCGAUCGCGUAGGAUUUUUUUCUUGGGCCUCUAUUUUACUCUUCACGAUCGCGGCCCUAUCUUCGCGAUUGUGAUUCACUAAUUACCUGGGCAGUUAUUAAUAUUUCAAAAACGAGUGUUCUUUCAUUUUUAUCAAACUCAAGCUAGAGAGCUCGGUUUUGGGAGAUUUUUCGAGGGAUUUUCAGAGGCAACUAUUGGGUAAUGAUUCCUUACUCCUCUAUGACUAAAAUCCGCUAAUCUAAUCGUGACUUCAAUCUUUAAUUUCGGAUUUUUGAAUGAAAAUUGGGGUAAAGUUAUUAGACCUAAUUGUGAGGAUUUGAAGGAGCAUUUGACCUCCGAUUUGGGAGAUUUUUAUGUGGUUAGACUCGUGAAAGUACGAGGUUUUUAAAAAUGUGAAAAUUAUUUGAUUCCGAGACAAUGGCCGGAAGGGUAUUUUGGUUAUUUUACCUAUUUUCGCUCCUUAGCUUUAAUUUUAAUAGUGGAAUUAGUUACUUGCGAUGUUAUUUAUGAUAUGUAAUUGGUUUGAAUAGAUUUGGGCCACUCGGAGUCUGAUACUCGUGACAAAGGCGUUAUUUCUUAGCGAUUUUUGUACCGGUUUGAGGUAAGUGGCUUGUCUAACUUUUUGUGGGGGACCUCUCCACUUAAGAUAUUUUUACUGUUAUAUAAAUGCCUUGUGCACGAGAUGACGGGCGUGUACUUGUGAUAGUUGUUGAAAAUUCACCUUACUUGACUUAUUUAGACCGUGUCUUCACGUACUUAACUGUUAAAAAUGCAAAUUGUACUUGUUUUAUCUUAGAGAAAGCAUGUUAGUAACUCACUUGCUCUAUUUGACUAAAUUGCAAUAUAUGUCUUCCUGCGAGCAUGCUAGACUCUAGAUUUUUACCUAUUGCUUGUAUUUCGCUUAUUUCUGUUAAAUAUUUAAUUGUUGUUAUGUGUUUAUUGAUUUGAUGGACUACGGGUUCGAUUCCCGGGAGAUCCCCUGAUAUUGAUAUGAUGGACAACGGGUUCGAUUCCCGGAAGAUCUUCUGAUAUUGAUAUGAGGGACUACGGGUUAAAUUCCCGGGAGAUCCUCUGUUAUUGUUAUGAUGGACUACGUGUUCAAGUCCCAGGAGAUCCCCUGUUGUUGAUAUGAUGGACUACGGGUUCGAUUCCCGGGAGAUCAUCUGAUAUUGAUAUGAUGAAAUACGGGUUCAAUUCCCGAGAGAUCCUCUGUUGUUGGUACGAUGGACUAUGGGUUCAAUUCCUGGGAGAUCCUCCGUUAUUGAAAAAAUGGACUGCGGGUUCAAUUCCUGGAGCUCCAUGUGGUGAUGGAGUGAGGGUUCGAUUCCAGAGAUCCUCAGAUAUUGGUAAAAUGGACUGCGGAUUCAAUUCCGGAGCUCCAUGUGUAAUUCUGAUAUUGAGUGAGUGUUCUUGUGUAGAUUGUAUUUGAAGCCUGUUCCGUUUCGCUUAUUGAUUUUACUAGAUACUCGACCUUUACUGCAUUUCUACUGUCUAUUCAUUUCAUAUUUAUUCUCACGUUUAUCUCAGUAGGGCCUCGACUUUCCUCGUCACUAUCGAACCGAGGUUAGGUUUGGCACUUACUGAGUACCGCUGUGGUCUACUCAUGCUACUCUUUUGCACAUUUUUGUUGUGCAGAUCCAGGUACUUCUGGCCGAGCGCGCUAUCAUUGAUUUCGGAGCUAUACUUGGAGACUUGAGGUAUGCAUCUGCCGCGUCCGCAGAUCCGAAGAGUCUCUUUCUACUCUACCUUUUAGUUAGCAGUUCUAUUUCAUGUAUUCAGUUGUUGUAGACAUUUUCGGAUAUUAGAGCUGUAUGUUAUAUUUUACUCUUAGUCUGUGUUGCCCGUGGGUUUCCGAGUCUUGGAGGUUGUUACAAUAUUUUUAGUUGAAGUGUAUGUGCCAGGAGGCACCCUAUACAUUUUCUUAUGUUAUUCAGUAUUGUUUAUCGUUUUCGUUAAGGUUGUUGAGUUUUCGCAAUGUGUUAGGCUUACCUAGUUGCUAAGACUAGGUGCCAUCGUGACAGGUUCACGAUUGGUGAACUAGGAUCGUGAUAAAUAUGUUCCCGAAAAUAGAAUUUCGUUUAGGUAGUGAACGAGCUCCCAAAUAAAUAUAUAGUGAAUUAGUACAUAUUUUCACAAAAGGAAAAGUGAUAAAAACAAGUAUCUUUACACACCCAACCAGCCGAUGAAGGCUUGAAGUGAAAAAGGGCAAAAGAAUCAGUUGAACACUAACAUAAAACCACACGAUUGAAGAAUGAAGAAUGAAGAAGUUAUGAACCUGUUGAAGACUUGAAGAUUGUAGAAUAAAGGUCAACAAUGAGCAAGCAAGUAGUCGCCGAGGAGAGGAGUUGUCGUCGCCGCUCGCCGAGGUUGUGAAGUCGUAGUUGCCCUUGCUAUUCUAGGGUAGAAAAUCGAAACAGGAAAUGGGUAAGCGGAAGAAGCUAACGUAAGUCUGUUGUGCU
rnacentral:lncRNA from 1 species